CAGUCGCCACGGUAAUACGAAGGGGGCUAGCGUUGCUCGGAAUCACUGGGCGUAAAGGGUGCGUAGGCGGGUCUUUAAGUCAGGGGUGAAAUCCUGGAGCUCAACUCCAGAACUGCCUUUGAUACUGAAGAUCUUGAGUUCGGGAGAGGUGAGUGGAACUGCGAGUGUAGAGGUGAAAUUCGUAGAUAUUCGCAAGAACACCAGUGGCGAAGGCGGCUCACUGGCCCGAUACUGACGCUGAGGCACGAAAGCGUGGGGAGCAAACAGGAUUAGAUACCCGAGUAGUCCCUGUCUCUUAUAC
rnacentral:rRNA from 1 species